CCUCUAUCUCCCGCUCACGAUGCCGCACAUCCCGUUGCGCGUGUCGCCCGAGUUUGCGGGUACCCAGGCGCGCGGGCCUUACGGUGAUGUUGUUGGGGAGAUCGACUGGUC
rnacentral:rRNA from 1 species